GAAGCGGCAGCCACUUUUCUUUCUGCUUAUCUUGGGUGAUGAGUUUAAUGUUCAGUGAAACUGAAAAGACCGUGGCCUUGGUGGCCUCAGCUAUUUUUCUCGAGCCCUAGGUCCCCUGGGGUGGACCGUGGCUUGGCUUUUAUGCCUCCCUUCCCGGGCUGUGCCACUUUUGCAUGGCCUAGGAAGGGAGAGUGUCUCGGUGGCUGCUCAGGAUGGAGGCUCUUGGGCUGUGUCUGGCCUGAGGUUGCGCUUGCUGACCGUGCAGUGACUAGCAGCCCUGGGAGGUGGUGUUGGGGCCUGGGAGGCCUCCUUCCCUGGCCGUGCCUGGGGCCAGGGUGCUCUUAGGAGACGCUGGACCCCUGCCUACUGGGAGGCAGAGGGAUCAACAACACGACCUUCCAAGCACCUUCCUCUCCAAGGACCACAGGACAGGGGUAGCUACCAAACAAGAGCCUGAGUUUGAGAGGAUUUAAACGACGGGGGCAGCCACUGAGGGGCAACUGCAUGGAGCCCAACAGAGACCUAGGAUCCUUUUCUCAGGACAAGAAGCAGGAGAGGGCUUGGCCCCACUCACCCACAGUCUCGGGAUCCCAGCCCCAGUCUGAGGGCGUAGAGAACAGGAGGGAAGGGUGCUGUACAUUCUGAUGAGGUUCUUCUCCGGAUCUCCUGCCCAGAAAAGGAUAAAUAUUUCUGAUCUAUAGCAAAUGUGUUUUCCUUUAGCUAACAUCUUGGCAGGAUCUGGAGAAGAAUCGCAGUCCAUGAAAUCUGCAUCUCUUGAAAGAAAAACCCAGAAGGCCACCUCCCUAUCAAAGGCAGAAUGAACCCAGUUUGGAAACGUGUUUAAAAUGCACGGGGGAGUGGCAACCAUCCUAAAUUACCCCGCUAGCCCUCCCGAGAUGGGCAGGAGAGGCCGGCGGGUGGCCUGCUGAGCCUGGGAGGCAGAGACGGGGAGUGAAGCCACAUGGCCCCAUGGGGCCAUCCAGCACUGCAGAGGUCUCAGCAGCAUCCCGCCCCCGACAGGUGCCACGUGACCCCCAAGCUGAACACAGAGCACACACCCACAAGACUACAAAAUCUCCCAACAGCCUCAUUUCAUAGAACUGCAUUUCGCUGACUUCUGUAGGAUGCGUGGCCAGGGAACCCUUUGAGGGAAUCCUCGAGAAGGUGCCCUGAGUUUACAGAGUGGGCAAUGUCCCCUCAAGGACAAACUCUUCCGCUGACCCCCCCCCCCC
rnacentral:lncRNA from 1 species